rnacentral:piRNA from 1 species
UGUACUGAUAUAUAAAAUUGG